rnacentral:rRNA from 1 species
UACGGGGGGGGUAAGCGUUGUUCGGAAUUACUGGGCGUAAAGGGCUCGUAGGCGGCCAACUAAGUCAGACGUGAAAUCCCUCAGCUUAACUGGGGAACUGCGUCUGAUACUGGAUGGCUUGGAUUUGGGAGAGGGAUGCGGAAUUCCAGGUGUAGCGGUGAAAUGCGUAGAUAUCAGGAGGAACACCGGUGGCGAAGGCGGAUCUCUGGGCCUUACCUGACGCUCAGGCGCGAAAGCUAGGGGAGCGAACAGG